UACGGGGGGGGCAAGCGUUGUUCGGAAUUACUGGGCGUAAAGGGCUCGUAGGCGGCCAACUAAGUCGGACGUGAAAUCCCCAGGCUCAACCUGGGAACUGCGUCCGAUACUGUGGCUUGAAUCCGGGAGAGGGAUGCAGAAUUCCAGGUGUAGCGGUGAAAUGCGUAGAUAUCUGGAGGAAUACCGGUGGCGAAGGCGGCAUCCUGGACCGGCAUUGACGCUGAGGAGCGAAAGGCCAGGG
rnacentral:rRNA from 1 species